rnacentral:rRNA from 1 species
AUUGAACGCUGGCGGCAGGCCUAACACAUGCAAGUCGAGCGCGAAAGUCCUUCGGGGCAAGUAGAGCGGCGGACGGGUGAGUAAUGCUUGGGAAUCUACCUAGUAGUGGGGGAUAACGUGUGGAAACGCACGCUAAUACCGCGUACGUCCUACGGGAGAAAGCAGGGGAUCUUCGGACCUUGUGCUAUUGGAUGAGCCCAAGUCGGAUUAGCUAGUUGGUGGGGUAAUGGCUCACCAAGGCGACGAUCCGUAGCUGGUCUGAGAGGAUGAUCAGCCACACUGGGACUGAGACACGGCCCAGACUCCUACGGGAGGCAGCAGUGGGGAAUAUUGGACAAUGGGCGAAAGCCUGAUCCAGCCAUGCCGCGUGUGUGAAGAAGGCUCUAGGGUUGUAAAGCACUUUCAGUAGGGAGGAACGGUUGUUGAUUAAUACUCACCAAUUUUGACGUUACCUACAGAAGAAGCACCGGCAAACUCCGUGCCAGCAGCCGCGGUAAUACGGAGGGUGCGAGCGUUAAUCGGAAUUACUGGGCGUAAAGCGCGCGUAGGUGGUUUGAUAAGCUAGCUGUGAAAGCCCUGGGCUCAACCUGGGAACUGCAGUUAGAACUGUCUGGCUAGAGUACAGUAGAGGGUGGCGGAAUUUCCUGUGUAGCGGUGAAAUGCGUAGAUAUAGGAAGGAACAUCAGU